rnacentral:rRNA from 1 species
AGACGAACGCGGGCGGCGUGCCUAAUACAUGCAAGUCGAACGAACUCUGGUAUUGAUUGGUGCUUGCAUCAUGAUUUACAUUUGAGUGAGUGGCGAACUGGUGAGUAACACGUGGGAAACCUGCCCAGAAGCGGGGGAUAACACCUGGAAACAGAUGCUAAUACCGCAUAACAACUUGGACCGCAUGGUCCGAGCUUGAAAGAUGGCUUCGGCUAUCACUUUUGGAUGGUCCCGCGGCGUAUUAGCUAGAUGGUGGGGUAACGGCUCACCAUGGCAAUGAUACGUAGCCGACCUGAGAGGGUAAUCGGCCACAUUGGGACUGAGACACGGCCCAAACUCCUACGGGAGGCAGCAGUAGGGAAUCUUCCACAAUGGACGAAAGUCUGAUGGAGCAACGCCGCGUGAGUGAAGAAGGGUUUCGGCUCGUAAAACUCUGUUGUUAAAGAAGAACAUAUCUGAGAGUAACUGUUCAGGUAUUGACGGUAUUUAACCAGAAAGCCACGGCUAACUACGUGCCAGCAGCCGCGGUAAUACGUAGGUGGCAAGCGUUGUCCGGAUUUAUUGGGCGUAAAGCGAGCGCAGGCGGUUUUUUAAGUCUGAUGUGAAAGCCUUCGGCUCAACCGAAGAAGUGCAUCGGAAACUGGGAAACUUGAGUGCAGAAGAGGACAGUGGAACUCCAUGUGUAGCGGUGAAAUGCGUAGAUAUAUGGAAGAACACCAGUGGCGAAGGCGGCUGUCUGGUCUGUAACUGACGCUGAGGCUCGAAAGUAUGGGUAGCAAACAGGAUUAGAUACCCUGGUAGUCCAUACCGUAAACGAUGAAUGCUAAGUGUUGGAGGGUUUCCGCCCUUCAGUGCUGCAGCUAACGCAUUAAGCAUUCCGCCUGGGGAGUACGGCCGCAAGGCUGAAACUCAAAGGAAUUGACGGGGGCCCGCACAAGCGGUGGAGCAUGUGGUUUAAUUCGAAGCUACGCGAAGAACCUUACCAGGUCUUGACAUACUAUGCAAAUCUAAGAGAUUAGACGUUCCCUUCGGGGACAUGGAUACAGGUGGUGCAUGGUUGUCGUCAGCUCGUGUCGUGAGAUGUUGGGUUAAGUCCCGCAACGAGCGCAACCCUUAUUAUCAGUUGCCAGCAUUAAGUUGGGCACUCUGGUGAGACUGCCGGUGACAAACCGGAGGAAGGUGGGGAUGACGUCAAAUCAUCAUGCCCCUUAUGACCUGGGCUACACACGUGCUACAAUGGAUGGUACAACGAGUUGCGAACUCGCGAGAGUAAGCUAAUCUCUUAAAGCCAUUCUCAGUUCGGAUUGUAGGCUGCAACUCGCCUACAUGAAGUCGGAAUCGCUAGUAAUCGCGGAUCAGCAUGCCGCGGUGAAUACGUUCCCGGGCCUUGUACACACCGCCCGUCACACCAUGAGAGUUUGUAACACCCAAAGUCGGUGGGGUAACCUUUUAGGAACCAGCCGCCUAAGGUGGGACAGAUGAUUAGGGUGAAGUCGUAACAAGGUAGCCGUAGGAGAACCUGCGGCUGGAUCCCUCCCCUUUUUAAACUGGGAUCACCCUCCUUAUAGUUUGAUCCU